rnacentral:rRNA from 1 species
UUUUAUUUGAGAGUUUGAUCCUGGCUCAGGAUGAACGCUGGCGGCGUGCCUAACACAUGCAAGUUGAGCGAUUUACUUCGGUAAAGAGCGGCGGACGGGUGAGUAACGCGUGGGUAACCUACCCUGUACACACGGAUAACAUACCGAAAGGUAUGCUAAUACGGGAUAAUAUAUUUGAGAGGCAUCUCUUGAAUAUCAAAGGUGAGCCAGUACAGGAUGGACCCGCGUCUGAUUAGCUAGUUGGUAAGGUAACGGCUUACCAAGGCGACGAUCAGUAGCCGACCUGAGAGGGUGAUCGGCCACAUUGGAACUGAGACACGGUCCA